rnacentral:lncRNA from 1 species
AAAGAAGUGAUCAAGGGCACAACUUGCCUGGCACUUGAGAUUCCAGGUACCAACUUGCUCUUCAGAUUCUCGUGACCUCACCGCUAUUCGUAGCAAUACAUACAAAUAGGCAAGAAUCAUAUAAAAAUAACAGUACACCAAACAUGAGAACAAACAGUGUAAGAAUAUUCUACGCGAUGCUACAAGAUCGUGGGAUCGAGAACCACUAAAAUCGGAGUCAUGGUUAAGGAGUUAUGAUCUAUAAAAGCUCUACGUGACUUAAAUAUUAAACUAUAGUAUAGAUCAUAUGAGAGAUUAUUCUAUAAAUAAUUAUCUCAACUUUAAUCUAAGUCAUUAUUUGAUUAAAGAUUAUCUAGUUAAAUUAUAACCAUAAAGUUAGAAUACUAUAUUAAUAUUAAAGAAAUUAAUCCAAUAGACAUAGAUUAACCCAAUUAUAAAAGUACGAGAUAUCAUACAAUAAGUGUUUCUAUUGUGUAGUAGAUAUUUAUACGAAACUAACGCAACUUGAACGGAUCAAUUCGGAGUUAAAACGGGGAAGUUAUGAAUUUCUGAAGAUUUUAUGUGUUCGGUAUAAGAUUAAAUAUGAUAUUAAUUUUAAUGUAACUUUAAUGUCAAAACAGAGAUAUUAUGUGAUACACAAUAAUAUUAUAGAAUUAUAGAAAUUGGAAUGGGUCAAUUUGAAGUUCAUAUGAAUUUUAUAUGAAUUAAACAAACUCUAGCCAUUAAAAAAAUAGAUUUCUAAUUCCUUUUCCUGGAUUUCCUAUUCACUGGACUGGGCGCAUGAGUACAUAAAAAUCCAGGGGCUAAACCAUAAAUACUUCCCAGACUCAGAGUACUACACAAUGGAUCGCGGGUUGAUUCCCAAAUUCUUCGAGGUCUCUUAUGCAAAACUACGUAGCCGAAGGGGUAUCGUUGCUUUUCGGCCGUCCGAUCAGAAACGAACGGCCCAGAUUUGCUCUGAUAAAAAUCCGAACCGGUACGUAAUCUUAAUCGUUGGAUCAUAGAUCCACGGUUCAAAACCCCACACGCCCACAUCUAAUCCCAACCGCUUACUAGAGGAUCGACGGUCCGAAUCGGAUCUAGCCGAAACAACCCCGGCCAUUUCAUCUAAGCCAACCAUAAGGAGAUCAACGGCCAGCGGCCAUCACCUCGUCGUUCAUCUUCAACCUCCCGAUGCAGCAGCGCCUGGCUUCCCACGGCGGCGAGCCCACCAGAGAGAACGCCAACCGGUCCCCUGGUGACCAAUACGCCUCCCCGAACUGCUCUACGUGCAAAGGAGGUCGAGGGAAAUACGAUGAUCGAGGACUUACUAGCGAUUUGGUGCCGCGACGACCGCUGCCGACUACACAGGUGGCGCCAUGGCAGGGAACAGAGAAGACGCGGCGUCGAGUGUCGAGGGGAAAAAGGGCGCCCUAUGGUGUCUGCUCUCUCUUUCUUCUCCUUCCUGCACACUCGAUGCUCUCGGCGAUGGCGUUCUUGUUGCUGGUGGUCAAGCAGAUGCAAUAGGAGGGGGGGUCUCCACCGGUAUUUAUAGGAGC